GAGGAUGCUCUCAGCCACCAGCGGCGGGAAGCGGCGAGGGGCGGACUCUCCCCAGCGCCUCGGACUGAGCACGCACCUCGAUUUCAGCCCAGCCACGGUGCUUGUGGACUCCUGGCUUCCGGAACUUGGAGGCGAUCGAGAUGAGUCAACCAAGGCCCCAUGUGGUUCACUGACUCACGCAAGAUCACGAAGCUGCUGAGGACAAAGAUUCAGUUCCAAGUCUAAGAGCAAAGGUCACGUGCUUUCCGUUCUACCUGCACGCAUGCGAUGCUGUCAUAAAGAGGAGUUCCCCGAGCACCACCAAGCUUCCUGCUACCUGCACUUGAUGGCCUGGCGCUCCCACAGCUUCCGGACCAGCUGGGGCAGGUGCUAAGGUCUGACUGAAGGUGGGAGCCCCGAGACAGCCUUUCUUAGGCUCAUAGACGUGGAUGGAGUGUCAAGGACAUGCAGUUACGUCACGGAAAGUUGUGCAACUCCCGACAUCACCUGCUCCCUUUCUGUUCACUUUUUCCCUCUGAUUUUUUUUUCUUGCCCAAUUAGAAGAAGCUGGGAAGCUUAAAAGUGGAAAGGACAGUUUAAAAUCCCAUGCCGGUGACCUGGUUUCACCAACUCUGCCCGCCCUGGCAGUAAGAACUACUCUUUAUCCAGUUGCGAAUAAAUCAGUCCAGAAAUUGAUUCCCAUCGGAAACCUCUCAUGGGAAACUAACCCUCUGGUGACCUAGCAUUACAGCACAACAAAACAUGCUUCAGUCCAGCGAUGAGAGGGUGGGAUCUAACCCCAGCACUGCCCAGUACUACCUGGGCCUAGUGGGCAUGCUCUGUACUCUUGUGGGGCCUCAGUUUCUCGGUCUGUAAAAUGGGGCUCCUCGAAGUACAUCACAGGGCUUAGAGGUGCAGCCCCGCCACCGCUCUGCAACACUCUGUAUUGGGGUCACUUCUACCAUGGGAGACAAGAUCUCCCCCUCCAAGUAGCAGCAGGCCUUACUUAAUUCUGCCACCCAUUUCUUUUUGAAGACUUUUAUAUUUCCGGCACUACGCAGUAUGAGAGGCUCAGAGUUGAGUUAGACCAGGUUUCCUGCCUCUGUGAGCUCCCAGGGCAACCAGGGAGACCAGGAGACAGCUCCUCUCAAGUCAGGACUCUGCAGAUGCAGACACGGGGAGGACGGAGGCAGUGGCAGUGCUGCGUCUCUUGAGUUGCCAACUCAUUUUUUAGUGCAGAUGAAGGUUUUUAAAGACUUGAGUUGAGAAGAGAGCUCAGGUCCAGGGGCUAGCAGUGGAUAAAGAAGCAUGCAUCACAAUAAAAAAAAAAAACUUUUUAAAGUCAGGCUUUUGUUUGUAGACUCUGUCACUUCAUUACCAACUUACCAGGGUGGUACAGCGUCUUCUCGGAGCUCCAUUAGUGACCUCAUGGCUGAAGCCGCCUUGAAUUGCACCAGCAUUUUAUUGACAGCACACAAAUCACAUCUGGGCCUGUUUUUUCUACUUGUAUUCUAGGAUAAAUCUUAGAUGAUGAAACUUCGGAUUCUGCAGCCAACAUUUCCAAACUAUAAUAAAUUGCAAUGGCUAUGCUUAGGGCCAAAAAAAA